rnacentral:rRNA from 1 species
AUACGGAGGGUGCAAGCGUUACUCGGAAUCACUGGGCGUAAAGCGCGCGCAGGCGGCUAUUUAAGUUGGAUGUGAAAGCCUAUGGCUCAACCAUAGAACUGCAUCCAAAACUAUUUAGCUAGAGUGUGGGAGAGGAAGAUGGAAUUAGUUGUGUAGGGGUAAAAUCCGUAGAGAUAACUAGGAAGACCAAAAGCGAAGGCAAUCUUCUGGAACACUACUGACGCUGAGGCGCGAAAGCGUGGGGAGCAAACAGGAUUAGAAACCCGAGUAGUCC